UCUGCAGACACUGAGACUGGCACAUCCUAUCAGAGUUUAUUCAUGUCAGGUCACAGGUCUACAAACACUUGCAUAUCUAUCCUGCAGUUGUCUUU